CCUACGGGAGGCAGCAGUGAGGAAUAUUGGUCAAUGGGCGGAAGCCUGAACCAGCCAUCCCGCGUGAAGGACGACUGCCCUAUGGGUUGUAAACUUCUUUUCUGUACCAAGAACGGGUGAUACGUGUAUCGCUAUGACGGUAGUACAGGAAUAAGCAUCGGCUAACUCCGUGCCAGCAGCCGCGGUAAU
rnacentral:rRNA from 1 species